rnacentral:rRNA from 1 species
AAUGAACGUUGGCGGCGUGGAUUAGGCAUGCAAGUCGUACGGACCGUGGUAGCAAUAUUACGGUAGUGGCGCAAGGGAGAGUAAUACGUAGGUAUUUACCCUGGGGUCUGGGAUAGCGGCGGGAAACUGCCGGUAAUACCAGAUGAUAUCUCCGGAUCAAAGGUGUGAUUCCGCCCUAGGAGAAGCCUGCGGUCUAUCAGCUAGUUGGUAGGGUAACGGCCUACCACUGCAAAGACGGAUAUGGGGCGUGAGAGCGUGCCCCCACUCACUGGGAGUGAGACACUGCCCAGACACCUACGGGUGGCUGCAGUCGAGAAUCUUCGGCAAUGGGCGCAAGCCUGACCGAGCGAGGCCGCGUGCGGUAUGAAGGCCUUCGGGUUGUAAACCGCUGUCGAAGGGGAGGAAAUUGUAGUGGGUUCACCCAUUAUAUUGACCGAUCCUUGGAGGAAGGGCCGGCUAAUCUCGUGCCAGCCGCCGCCGUAA